UGACGAUAAUGGCAAACUUAUUGAAAAAUAAGGACGCAAAGCUACGGGUCUAAUAUUAUGUAAAAUAAUGAUGAUCGCCGGGCUACCGAA
rnacentral:ncRNA from 1 species